rnacentral:rRNA from 1 species
UACGUAGGGGGCAAGCGUUGUCCGGAUUUAUUGGGCGUAAAGAGCGUGUAGGCGGCCAGACAGGUCCGUUGUGAAAACUCGAGGCUCAACCUCGAGAGGUCGGUGGAAACCGUAUGGCUAGAGUCCGGAAGAGGAGAGUGGAAUUCCCGGUGUAGCAGUGAAAUGCGCAGAUAUCGGGAAGAACACCCGUGGCGAAGGCGGCUCUCUGGGACGGUACUGACGCUGAGACGCGAAAGCGUGGGGAGCGAACAGG